rnacentral:rRNA from 1 species
CUGGGCUAGAAUGCCUCUGACAACCCUAGAGAUAGGGCUUCCUAGGGAAACCUAGGCAGAGUGCAAGGUGCUGCAUGGCUGCCGUCAGCUCGUGUCGUGAGAUGUUGGGUUAGGUCCCGCAACGAGCGCAACCCUUAUCGAUAGUUGCUAGCGGUUCGGCCGAGCACUCUAUUGAGACUGCCGUUGACAAAACGGAGGAAGGUGGGGAUGACGUCAAGUCCUCAUGGCCUUUAUGUCCAGGGCUACACACGUGCUACAAUGGCAAGUACAAAGCGCUGCAAACUCGCGAGAGGGAGCCAAUCGCAAAAAGCUUGUCUCAGUUCGGAUUGGAGUCUGCAACUCGACUCCAUGAAGCUGGAAUCGCUAGUAAUCGCAGAUCAGCACGCUGCGGUGAAUACGUUCCC